rnacentral:snRNA from 1 species
GUGAGUGUCGGCAGCACAUAUACUAAAAUUAGAAUACAGAGAUUAUCAUGGCCCCUGAGCAAGGAUGAUACGCAAAUUUGUGAAGCGGUCCAUAUUUUU